AUUGAACGCUAGCGGCAGGCCUAACACAUGCAAGUCGAACGAGCGGCGGACGGGUGAGUAAUGUCUGGGAAACUGCCUGAUGGAGGGGGAUAACUACUGGAAACGGUAGCUAAUACCGCAUACCAUCGGAUGUGCCCAGAUGGGAGUAGCUAGUAGGUGGGGUAAAGGCUCACCUAGGCGACGAUCCCUAGCUGGUCUGAGAGGAUGACCAGCCACACUGGAACUGGGGCACGGUGCAGACUCCUAGGGGAGGCAGGAGUGGGGAAUAUUGCACAAUGGGCGCAAUCCUGAUGCAGCCAUGGGGCGUGUAGGAAGAAGGCCUUCGGGUUGUAAAGUACUUUCAGCGGGGAGGCGUUACCCGCAGAAGAAGCACCGGCUAACUCCGAGCCAGCAGCCGCGGUAAUUC
rnacentral:rRNA from 1 species